UGUAUUCUGCAUAAAGAAUUCUGGUUAAGAAUUCUGGUUAAAGAAAAAUGCAACUGCCAAGAGCUGCCCAAGCAAUAGCGCCAUGAUGAUAUGUGUAUUAGAGUGAGUCAUCGGAACCGUUUUCUAAGAUCAAAGCUUUUUUGGUUCCGUUUCGGGUUCUGAGUAUCUGUGCAAAAUUUGAGCACGAUCGGUUGCGUCUACACUUUGCGCAUUGCAAUUGAAAUUUGUAUGGGAUUUUGCAUGGCAAAACAUACUUUUUUGUCAUAAGUUAAAAAAGUUUGUUUGAAACUUUUUAACCGAUACUAUAAAAUGAUCGCCUAGGAUGUUCUGAAAAACUUUGUUGAAGACCGCAAAGCGAUCCGAUGCUUGUGAAAAUAGAAAUGUGUAAAACGAACCGCAUGCAUGUGUUUAUGUUUUAACAUGUAAAGGAAUAACAAUAGCAACAAAAUCAUAUUGUUUCGUCAAGCAAUGUCAACGCUAUUACUUUUUUCAUAAGCAUCAGAUCACUUCGUGGUCUUCGACAAAGUUUUUCAGGACACCCUAAGCUAUGUUUUCACUUUAUCGGUUACAGUCAGGUUUUUUUUUUACGCGGGGGAUACGUACCGCGUAACAGGGCCCAUAUAGCCGAGGCGGUAAACGCACGGGUAUUCAGCAUGACCAUGCUGAGGGUGACGGGUUCGAUUCCCGGUCGGUCCAGGAUCUUUUCGUAAAGGAAAUUUCCUAGAUUUCCUUGGGCAUAGAGUAUCUUCGUGCCUGCCACACGGUAUACACAUGCAAAAUGGUCAUUGGCAGAGGAAGCUCUCAGUUAAUAACUGUGGAAGUGCUCAUAGAACACUAAGCUGAGAAGCAGGCUUUGUCCCAGUGAGGACGUUACGCCAAGAAGAAGAAGAAGACGUACCGCGUAAAAAAAAAACUCAGUUCAAAAUUUGAAAAACCGCGUAAAAAAAGUCUCACCAUUUCUCGACGAAUCAUGCAAAAAUAAGACGAUGAAAUUUUUUUUAUAUGGAGUUUUCAUUUACGCGGCCGCGUAAAUGAAAACCGCGUAAAAAAAGACCUGACUGUACAUGGUUUUAGAAAAAAUCGAGCUUGUUAUGAGAGAAAUGCAAUAAAGUAUGUUUUCCCAUGUAAAACCCCAUACAAACUUCAAACGCGAUGCGCAAAACGUAGACAUAACCGAUCGUGCUAAAAUUUUGCACACUUAUUUGGGUCCUGAAAUGGGAUCAAAAAAACUUUGAUCUGAUGGGAUACCAUUGAAUUUUUCAUUUUUCCAUAUGAACGAUGACCCACUCUAAUGUGUAUAGUAAAAUUGUAUGAAAAACAUCAAUUUUGUUCAAAUUUUGUUCGAAGAAAUCGACAAAAAAUGAAAAAGCCUUUGCAAUGAAAUUGAGCGCUAAAUCAUGUUCCAAUACACUCAUAUAGGCUAAAACUAAGUCGAGUCAAGUACAAGACACUGAAGACGACCUUACAGUUGAGGUCGAAAUACGUAUCUGUCAAAGGAUGCAAAUUCUUAGUGGAAUUCAAAGGAACCGUACUUAACCCGAUUUUCUUUUUAUUUAAAACUAGCAGUCUAUUAUGAUUUGGCCAUUUUUGCCAGGUAUUUUCAAAUCUGGACCACUGUGAGUCAGCCAUGUGGGCGGUGGGUGGCAAAAAGGUCGACCGGCACCCAAAAAGAACUUUUCCCCGCAUGGGUUGAUUUGCGUCUGCCCGUCCCACCCACAUUGGCCCGAUUGGCGACGCUAGCCCCGCCGCAUGUGAAUCGCAGCAGGCGAAGAUGACUAGAUGAUGAGAGGAGGCACAGACAAAUGGAGAGGCGCUUCUUGCACACUUUGGGAGUCCCUAUAUGAAUGCCGACGCUGGCUGAUCUGCUCCAGAAGGGUGUAUAGUAAGCAAAACAGAAUAAACGUUCAGCGCGUGUAGGCGGACGUGUAGCAAAGCGUGGGCGACAGAACGUCUAUGUAUAAUCGAAAGUAGAUGAGCAGAGAAGGAGCCGUUUUGUGUUCAUGUGCUGAGGUUAUGUUUUAUGAUUUCUAUGUGUCCUUUUUCUGAAACAUGUAUACAUUUUUGCAUCAACAAAACAGCGAAGGCAAGAUGGUUUUGCUGUGCGAAACUCAGCUAGUAUUUGGCCAAUAGUUUGAGUCUGUGUGCGAGCAGUGCACUGAAACUAGAAUUUGAGCUUUGCUCGUUAGGAAUUUCAUUGUUAUUGUGCACACCCACGCAAAGGCAGUCAGUGUGCGAAGGAAUGCCCUGAGGGCAAAUGACGGGCAGAGGACCCACAGUUUAUUCUAGCCGCCCACGAUACUUGUCGAUUUAAGUUCUAUUUUUGCACUGGAAAAUGCAUAAAAUUAUUUCGUUAUGGAUGGAUUGCUUGCUAUUGCGUCGGUUGAUACAAUUUUCGAAAGCACAAUUAUUGAUUCACCCGCCUCCAAAAGCAUAUGAAAGCUUGAAUAAAAAUAGCUAUAGUUAGCUUUAUGUUAUGGUAAAGAAAAAACCCAGAUUAAUCCACCUUGUGGUGAUAGUGCCUUUCUCAUCGAAUAUGUACUCAUGAUCUUUCCUUCGACGUUAACCUAAAUGUUUGAAAUCCUGGGAACACUUUAUAUAGAAAAGCAAAAAUUUUAACAAAGCCGGCAUCGAUUUGUGAAUCUUAUUGAUGGCACAUAUUCCGAUGUUAUGUUCAACGACAGAACAGAGCUGAACAAUAUCAGACCUCUCAGUUGACUGCUUGACCACCUUAACUUUAUUCACAACCACAGAUCACUUCACGAUCUUCGACAAAGUUUUCUUUAGCACACUUUUAGCUAUAUUAUAUUAUCCUUGGUAACACGAUUCAUGUAAAAUUUUUCCUCAUUUGACCCUCAACACCGCAGGAAUCUGAAAUGGUGUGAUUUGGUCACAAUUUUGUUCUCUUGCAUAUAUAAAGACUUCGACCAUUUCUUCACUUUUAAUCUAACCCAAAGUUUACCAGGCUAUCAAAAAGCCACGAUUUGAUCAAUCGCUAGAAUUGAUUUUUUUCACUUUUGUAAAUCCGCUAUUUGAUGUGCCGCAUGCAUUUGACAUGCCGCAUGCACCCGGAAUCAGUUUUGGAUCACUGCCGGUAGUUUCUGGUGUGAUCUGAGGCUAUUUUCUUGCUAGUUAUUGAAAAUGCCGCGAUUUUAUGUGUCGCAUGCAUAGGUUUGGUUUACUUUUAUAUUUGACCACUUACAACGGAACACUCAAAAUCGGUUCCCCGACACGACUUGUUGUCCCGAAUAUGGUCUGAGGCUAUUUUCUUGCUACCAAAUAAAUCAUUUGAUAUGUUAUAUGUAUUGGUUCUCUUUUACAUUUGACCUUUGACCAUUUCCGGCGGGAUACACGGAAUCGGUUCCAUAACACACUGAUAUGGUCUGAGUCUAUUUUAUUGCCAACUGUUUAUCAUGUUAUCUGAAAAGCCGUGAUUUGAGGUAUCGCAUGCAUCGGUUUGCUUCACUUUUAUAUUUGGCCACUUCCGCCGGGACACUCAGAACUGGUUCCGGAACACUACUGGUGCAGAUAUGGUCUGAGCCUAUUUUCUUGCUAACCUUUCAUUAGGUUAUCAAAAAAGCCGCGGUUUGAUAUGUCGUAUGCAUGGGAUUGGUUCACUUUUAUAUUUGGCCACUUCCGGCGGGACACUCAGAACCGGUUCCGGAACACUACCGGUUCAGAUAUGGUGUGAUACUAUUUUCAUGAUAACCAUUCAUCAAGUUAUCGAUAAUGCCGCAAUUUGAUGUGCCGCAUGUAUGGGUUUGAUGCAUUUUCAUGUCUGACCCCUUCCAGGGGUAUCGGUCUGGAACACCUAUAUGGCCAUAACUCCGGAACGGCUGGACCGAGCCGAACUAUUUUCAAUAGGAAACAAUGCGACCAGAUUCCGCGUCGAAUGAGCCGUCGAUCGUUAAAAUCGGUUGAUAUUUACUAUCUAAAAGUGAGGUGACCUUUUUUUGUACACAUACACACACACACAUACAUACACACACACACAGACAUCAUCUCAACUCGUUGAGCUGAGUCGAUUGGUAUAUGAAACUUGCCUCUCCGGGGGCUCUAUCAAAAUUUCGUUUUUGGAGUGAACAUAUAGCCUUUCGGUACACCUUUGUGUACGAGAAAGGCAAAAACAUUCAUUUCGUACACUGAACGAAAUUAAACCAUAAAAAAUAACCAAAGCAUGCCACGUUAAUUACGGAACAGCAAUGUCGCAUGCGAAUGGAACAUUAGAGCACAUAAUGAAUGAGCCUAGCCUAGAACACCUCUGCGCCAAAACCGAAACACAAUUGAAGCCAAAAGAGCUGAAUGAAACGGGAAAAAAAUCGAUAUUUGGCUGUCUGAAUGAAUCGUCACAGAACAUAGCUCAUCCGGUGGGGACGGAAAACAUCGAUACUCCUCCCGUCCCCUCAGAGGAAUUCAUUCACGAUUUCCACAGUGCAUAGGCAGACUUCGGAAUGUUGGUCAUGCUCAUGGCACCAAUCGUUUGCAAAUAGCACAACCCGAACGGAUUCUCCCAUGCGCCAUGCCUGCCUGCCUGCUAUGCCCCCAUCUGGACAAUGGGCGGAUGAGCCCCCACUUCCCUCGAAACGGGUCACUGCGGUGUGGAACGCACCCGGUUUUUUUUCUACUUCUUCCUUCGAGAAAAGGAGGCAAACGAGCGUGAAGUUAUGCAUAAACAUGUGGCCAUUUCCCGGCGCAACUCCAGAGGGAGGCCUACUUGGUUAUUAGCCACCAUCAGUCAGUUUCCUGUUUGCUAGCUACGAUGAUGCGCGAACAGCCAGACAGACAGCUCCCCACGAAACAAGCUCCUCCAUCGAACAAACAAAGCAAGCUAAGCGCUCUGCUGACAGUUGUGCCGCGCAUCGUGCAUAGCGCGGCAAUGGACAGUGGUCGGUUUCCAUACAAGCUGGUGGUCAAAAAUGUUGUUGAUUCCUUUGUACCAUACACUGAAAGGAGCUUUGCAGUAAUGACAAACACAAAAAUGUUUUUAAAUUUACCAUGGCAAAACAUGAUCAUCGACCCACCCAGUGGCGUAGCAAGGGGGGUGCGAUGGGUGCGGUCCGCACUGGGCCCCCGAUUUCAGGGGGCCUCCAAAUCAAGGAAGGUUUCUAACACAAGUUUGAAUAAAGUUCUUAAAAUAGCGUAAGAUUCCUAUAAGUUCAACACUUCGCAGAACUGCUGAUAGGUAUGUGGGGGCCCCUUCGUAAUUAUCAAGAGUUUUUUGGAAUGGGGCACACAGAUGCUAGCUUAGCUUAGCUUAGCUUAGACUGACUGCACAUAUCUAUGGUUGCUACUCCGUGAUUGACUCGAACCAAUGACAGUUGCACAAUGAAUCAACUGAAUAAUUGACUGGGAGUGGUCAACAUUCUCACUGUGCACGCUUCAGAGGCUCUCUUUAACAGUACAAUAACGGCGCCGGCCACGUCCUUGCAAUCAGGUUGGAAGAGUGAAGGAAUGUUAAUAGCAACCUUUGUUAUGUGAAAGUUGGCGUUUACCGCACGUCUCCACCAAAGGCUGCAGGAAGGAGUGAUUGUUAGUAGGGCAGGUAUCGUUGGGUCAGGAUUCACUUCGAUAAGUAAUAUGACCUUUUUUUGGAAUGGGGCACACAGAUGGCUCCAAAAUUACAAGAAAAAUGUGUUAGAAUUAAAAUUGAAUUUUACGAAAUUCAGUAUCAAUAUGGAAGUUAAAUUCAAGGGCAUUGUGAAUAUAAAGGGUUUUCGGCGAGAAUUCCUUCGGGCAAGGUAAAUACUUACAUAGCCUUCGGGAAUAUGUAUUACGAUUUAUCUAGCAGUCACUUCAAAGACUUCUACAAAAAAUCCUCUAAGAUUUACUUCAGUACUUUUUUUAUGGAUUGCUUCAGGAAUUCUUCUAAGCAUUGAUUUUGGAAUACUUGAAUUGAUACCUUCAGAAACACCUCCAAGAAUUUCAUCAGGAAUUUCUUUAAACAUUUAUCAAGGAAUCCUUCAAAAAUUCCUUCAAGGAUUUUUUUACGAGUUCCUUCAGGAAUACCUCUUUGGAUCCUUUCAUAAAGUCCUUAAAUGAUUAUGUCAUGAAACCCUUCAACGAAUCCUUCACAUGAACCUUAAGGAAUUUCUCCAAGGAUUCUUUUAGACUUCUCCAAGAAGGAUUCUUGCGGGAGUUUCUCAUGGAAAAUAUCUCUGAUAAAUUUCUGAGAUCAUGCUUGAUCAGGCAUGGCUCCUGAAUGGAUCCUUGUGAGAUUUUCUAAAGGAAUUUCGGAGGAAUUCCCAAAAAAAUCCUUGUAGAAGUGUUCACAGGAAGUUUUGGAGGAAUUGUUAAUGGAAUCCUCUAAGAAUCUUUUAGAUGAAUUCGGAAAGCAUUGGGUUGAUUUUCGAGAUAUCUUAGAUAACAUUCUUGAUGGAUUACUACAGUACUAUUAACCCUCUAAUACCCAAAUUUUUGAUUUUGAUCUGAAUAUCAUUUUUCGUCAUCUAAAAUCGAUUUAAACAUGUUUUGGAAGAGUGUAAUCAGUUCAUAGAGGGUAUUCUGCUUAGAGGGUUCGAAAAGUCGGUACAAGAUGUUUUGGAAGAUGAUUCUUUUUAAUUCUCGAUUUCGUCAAUUUCAGUUUUUGAUUUUUCUAAUUUUUAUUUUUGAACAUUUUCACACUUUUAUAUUUUUCCUGGAAGCAAUUUGGGGAACGGAUUUUUUGAGAUGAAAACAUUUUGAGAUUUUAUGAUUAUUGUUGAAAAAUUAUUAUUUUAAUUUUUUUUUCACAGAAAAUUUUAUUUUCCGUGUAAUUUUAAGGAAAAUAAUUUUAGAGUGUAUUCGAUUCCCUUAAACUAUUAAACAAGGAUAGAAUGAUUUGGGAAAAAUUCAAAAUAUGUCAAUUGUAGCGAUUUAAUACAAAAUAAACAAUGACUUCUAAAAGGUGACUAAAACAUCAAUUUUUCAAUGAUUUUUGAAAAAUGUAAAUACGCUUCAAAAUACACCAAAAACUAUUUUGAGAUAUACAGAACAGCCCUUAAUAUCAGCCAAAAAUAUAAAAAGUUUGAUUUUCCACGAAACAAAAAUUACAAAAAUGUUCAAACUAUACCCCGUCUAAAGGCGGGAUUGGGUAUUAGAGGGUUAAGUAGUAGUAGAAGUAUCAGAAGUAUUUCAAGAAUUUCUUCCAGACCCCCUGAGGAGGCAUCCAUUUAGUACGUCACGAUAAAUUUGGGAAUUUUCGGCCCCCUCCCCCUUUGUACGGGUUUUUCGUAUACCUAAUACAUUGAUUGUCACACUUUCCGAAACCCCCUCCCCCUAUGAGCGUGACGGACUUUAUGGCUGUCCCCUGAGGGAAUUUGUGCAGGAAUCCUUUGUGGAUGAAUGUGUUCACCCUUGUAGGUUUAUCUGAAGGAAAACUUUGAGAAAUCCCUGAAUGAAUCUUUGUAACGUAGCGUGAAAAAUCUUUGGAGAAAAAGAUUAAGUCUUCACCGGAAUUUCUUGAAGGAUUUAUGAACGAAUCUUGAAAGAGUAAUUGAAAAAAAUGCCUAAUGAAUCUUUGGACGAUUUUAUACAGCAGUUAUUGGAAGAAUUUCUAAAAAAAUCUUUGAAAUGCUUGAGCAAUACUUCGCCAGAAAUCCUUGAAAGGACUUCAAGAAAAAACAUUUGUUAAAAAAAAUAAUUUUUGCUUAAAUUUCUAAAAACAAAUCUUGAAAGAAUUCAGAAAGGAUUCCUCUGGGAAAUUUGCUCAAGGGAUCAUGUUGGGUAGCCGUAAAGGAAUCGUUUGUUGAAAUAUUUAAGAAACUCUUUAUGGCAUUCUUGGGAAUACAUAUUACUGAAGAAAUUCAGAAAGGAGGAGGAGUUCCCGAAGCAAUCGCUGUAACAACUUUCGAAGCAAAUCUUGGUGGAAUUUAUAAAGAAGUCCUUGAAGUAUUUUCUAGAUGUAUCGUAAAACAUAUCUAAGAAAAAGUUCUUGGAGUUCCUCAUUUGCUUGAUGAAAUCCUUAGAAAAAUUUCUUAGUAGCUUCGUGAAUAAAAUCCGGACGAAAGUGGUGUUAUCGGUAAGUAAAUCUUGGUAAAUGGUAUCAAUAGAUGGAAAACUUGGAAGAAUGCCUAAAGAAUUCAUUGAAAAAAUUCCAAUAAAAUUUCUUGGGAAUUUCUUGAAAAAAAUCUUACAUAUUUUUAUUAUAAUUUCCUUUGGGAAUUUCUUUUGGAUCUUUCUCAGUAAAUACUUUGGAAAUCCGUGCAGCAAUUCGUUAGGGAAUAUCUUUGAAAAUUUACUUGGAAACUCCUUCAGCAGUUACUCUGAAAAUUUCCUUCGGAAAUUGGUUUGGGAAUUCCUUAAGUAUUUUUGUUUUUGAAUUCAUACUUCAUUAUUUUUAAAGAAAUUUUAUGGAAAAUCUUUUGAAAAUUGUAUCCGCUAUUGUGUUUGCAUCUCCUUUGGUAAAAAUUAUCAAGAAUUUUUUAGGGAAUUCUGUUACAAGUUUCAUCGAAAAUUUCUAUGGCAGUUCUUUUGAGAAAUUAUUAGGAAGUUCUUUGGGAAACUUCUUUGAUUAGUUCUCGGCAAUGCUUCAGCAAUGGCUUAGCGAACUUCUUCAGAAUAUUUUUUAUAUGGAAAAUUCGUUUGAAAAAUCCUCUGGCAAUUAUUUUGGGAAUAACUUAAUUUGGAAAUGCAUUUGGCAAAUUUCCUGUGAGCUACCCCGUGGAAAUCUUUCAUAUUACCUGUGGCGGAGAUUUUUUUGGCAAAUCCGUUGGAAAUUCUUUCAGCUAUUUUUUCGGAUUUGAUCCUAAAAUUCCUAUAAGAUUUUUUUCGGGGUUUUCUUGGACAUUUUUUUUCGAACUAUUUUGGAAAUUCCUUUGAAAUUUGGUUUGGUAACAUUUGGAAAUUUCUGGGCAAUAAUAGAUAUUCGAGCCGGGGCCCGUGGCGUAGUUGGUCACACGUUCGCUUCAUAUGCGGAUGGUCAUGGGUUUGAUUCCAAGCCCCGGCACUUGCAAUUUUUCGUCAGUUGCUUUUCCCCCGAGAGCAACUGACACUGACCCUCUUCUGAGCCCUAUGGCUCAAACGGACCCGGAUACCUGGACAUCGGCGAACUGCUACUCAUAAUGGACCCCCAAUCGGACUGGAAAGGAACAACGGCCAUCCAUCAUCAUCCUUGUGCUCAUCAUUCUACUAGGUAUAAAGUAGAAAAAGUAAAAGCAGCAGAAAGGCAACCAGUUCGAUAAAGUAGAAUAGAAUCUAGGCGCUGUACAAAAUGUAAGUGCAGCUGUCAAUUGAAAAUUGCUCACGUAGUGCCCCAGUGGACAAUAGAGCUGUAAAUUAGGUUAAGUGAUUAAGAAUAAAAAAAAAAAUAGAUAUUCGAAAUUGAUUUAGGUUUUUAUUUUUGAAAAUAUCUCGGCAUUACUUUUCGAAAUUCUUUGGACAACAGUUUAAGAAAUUUUUCAUGCAACCCCUGCGAGAUUCCCUUCAGCAAUUUCUUUGAAAGUUUCACCGGCAGUCCCUUUGCUAAUAUACCUAACAAUUACUUUUGAAAUUCUUUCAACAAUUCCUUUCGUAAUUCAUUCGGCAUGUACUUUAAAAAUUCCUUAGUAAAUUGAGGCGGUAAUUUUAGAAAAUUUCUCCGUUAAUUCCUCUGAAAAUCCCUUUGGCAAUUUCUCUUUAGAAUUUUGAAUAAAUCCUUGGUAGAAUUCCUAAAGCAAUCGCUGGAAUAAGCCCAAAAGUAAUCCUCUGUAGAGCUCUUGGAGAAAUUAUUGAAUAAAUUAAGCAAAGAAUGCUUCAUCCGAUUGAUGAAACCUUCAUAGAGGUUCCUAACGAUAUCUUUGAAGAAAUUCCAAAAGAUUUUUUUGGAGAAAUAUUUCAAAAAUCCUUGGAAAAAUUCCCAUAUCGAAGUGAUUCCUGAAGAAUUCUCGAUGGGCAUCCUAUAUGAAAUCUUAAGCUUUCAUUAAUCAGAUGCUUCUAGGCAUUCUUAAAUAAUUCUUGAAGAAAGUGGCAAAACAGUCUUAGGAGGAAUCCUUGGAGAAACUUCUGAAGAAACUAUUUGAUUUAAUCUUAUCAAAUCAGGUAUCUGUUCCCUUACUAUUUAAGAAUAUACGCUCCUAUUUUCAUCCUACAAUCCUACAAAAUGAUAACGAAAAUCAAUCAAUCAAUCGAUGCGGUAAUCGCUUUGUUUUCGAAUAGGAUGGAUUUGGGAUUAUAAGAUUACUAAGGCACGUUGACCCUACCAGGAAUCAAUAAUAAAUCCUGAAGAAGGGCUUGACUGCUUGAUGGCAACUUAGAAUGAUUUUUCAAAAGGUUUUUGUGAGAAUUUCUUGGGAGACUCAUCAAAAGUCAAUAUGAAAAUUUUCAGAAGAGUUCUUAGAGGAAUGCUAGCAAAAAUUCCUAAAGUAAUCCUUGGGGAAACUCCUAGAGUAGAUGGAUAUUAAAGAAUUCGUUUUAAGAAAUCUAGAGGGAUUUUUUGAAAGAAUUCCUCCAGAUGUUCCUUUAAGAAUUUUCUUAGAGAAACUUCUGUAGGGAUCCUUGGAGGAUUUUUCUAAAUUCUUAUCCAUGGAUUCUUCUGAAAUUUCUUGGAGGAUUUGUAGUAUGAAUCUCUUAAUAAAAUUUUAGAAAAACUCUUUGAAGAAUCAUUGCAGAAAUUUUUCAAAAAAUAAACGUUGCAGUAAUACUUGAAAGAAUCAUUGGAGGAUUUUUUGGAAGAAAUUCUUAAGAAAUCUUCAAAGGAUCGCCAAGAUGAGUAAUGAAUGCUUGAGGAAAUGGAUAAAUGCUUUAAUUCCGUGGAAAAAUCAUUUAAGGGAUAUUUGGAGGAUCUCCUGAAAGAAACUAUGGAGGAAUGUUUGAAGAAAUUUUAGAAGGGUUUAUCUUCCUUUGACGGAAUUCCGAUGUAAUUUCUUGAAAAAAUAUCAUUGGAGUUUUUUUGUAGUGUUUUUUUUCUAGAAUUUCUUAAUUCCUUGAUAUUAAGAUGAACAAAUAUUUCGAAAAAUAUUCGAUUAACGCUUUGCCAUAAUCUUUUAAAGUACUCUAAAGUACUUUUGACAACAUCCUCGGAGACAACACUGUACGAAUCUUGGAGAUGAACCAACUUCGGGCAGAAAAUCUCCCUAAUAAAGCUAAUAAUAAUAAUAACUGUGAGAAUACCUGAAAGAGUGUUCAGAGAAAUAUUGAAUGAUUUUUUUUUCAAAGAAAAGGGUAAAGCAAUCUUUGAAAGAAUUCGUAAAGGAUUACUUGAUACAAUUCCUAAAUAAAUUGUUAAAAAAAGACAUAAUUCUUAGAAAAAAAUCAUACGCUCAUUGAUGGAACUCCGGGAUGUAUCCUUGCAGAAAUCCCCGAAGAAAUUCAUAAAGGAAUACAAAAAAUAAUGUUUAACCUUCCGUCAGUCAGUUGGUCAGUUUUGUACAAAAUACAACGGCGUAUUUAUUUAAGAGCUAAAAGAAUAGAUUUAUCAUUGUAAAAUAUGUAUAUCUGUAAUUUUCAUGGGGCCCAAAAAUUUAGUUCCACACCGGGCCCCCAAAUGCCUAGCUACGCCACUGGACCCACCAACGCUUCUUGUGUGCGUUUUGUUUCUUCUCACAUCAACCGGUUCGAUAGCUGAGUGGUAGCGUGCGAGCAUGGUGAUGUCAAGAUUCUUGGUUCGAAUCCAGAUGCCAACAGAAACUUUUUUUAAUUGAAAAUCGAGUCCAUGGUAAAAUUGAAAACAUAAUUCUGUUGAAUUAAAACGAAACUCAGUCUGCACAAAUUUAGUGGCGUUGUGCAUUUAAAUUGACCCUCAGAAUAGUAAUUUUCACCGCAAGCCGCCGUUCAGUGUAUAUGCGUUCCGUUGGUUAGUUGCCACUCAAAGCAUCAUUUUCGAGAUAAAUUUUUGAAACGAGUGAAUUAAAGUUUUACUCACAUUCAAGAUUUACUGCAAUAUAAACCACAUAAUGUGAAGUUUGAAAGCCCUUCUGAUAAUUGGUAGCUGAUGAAUGGACAACAUUGUCAAACACAUGAAACAAUAGAACACGAAUUUUCAGUUGUUUGGAUGUCCAACAGAAUGGGUUGUAUGAAUAAAAAUAUAUGAAGUGAAGUCCACAGAGUUGACUACACAGUUAGUAUGAAUAAAAAAGGUUGUCAAAACAAAUCUUGCGUAAUUCUUAAGAUUCUUACUGGAAGAUUGUGGUAUAGCGUAGAAGUUGAAUGUUUCUCCGGAUGGUUAUUCGGAAAGCAAGUUCAAUUAAGAAAUAAAAUCUUUCCGUACUACAUUAAAAAAGAGUAGCACAGCACUUCAAAAUCAAGCUGCCGAUUCUGAUAAGAGGCUGCAAAUUUUAGGUGAACGAUAGAAGCUGAAAUUUAUCAAGAAAUUUGAGGGGCUCCGAUGCAAAGUGACCAUUUUGUGGAUUUAGAACUGAGCUGAGCAUAUCAAAAAAUUCUUCAGAUUUUAAGCUCUCAGGAACUUUUUCCAGAUUUUUUCAAUAAAUCGGAAAAAUCGGAUUGAUUUUCCAUACAUUUGUAUGGGAUGAAAAAUGGGUGAAAAACUUUGAACCUCGAAAGUGUUUUUUUUUGUCACUUACACUCCUUUGCUUCUAACCCCCUUAUUUGUCCACAAAGGUUUCUCCAAACAUUCCAUCAGGAAUUCUUUCUGGAACUCAUUUAGUGAUACCUCUUGAAAUGCCUUCCAGGAUUUCUGAAAAGAAUUGUUCCUUCAACGAUGUUUUUCUCGAUAUUUCACAUCAAAUUUCUCUCUGAAUUUUAGAUUCAUACCGGAAUUCUUUCCGGAAAUGUCCCGUGAGAAUUUUCCAUGAUUCCUGAGUUCCGAUCAAUUUCGCCUAAGUUUCUCACAGAGAUCUAGUAGGAUUUCUUUUAUGGGUAUCAGGUAUCAGUAGCUCGGCUCCAGAGGUACGGGCUUCUAUUGUUUCUCUCGGAGUUUCUCUUGAAUUAUUUUCCGCAUUUCUUUCCGGUGUUCCUCCCUGGUUUUUUUCUAGAGUUCUUCCCAGAGGUUUACGAACUGUUUUUUUUACAGAAUUUCUACAGUAGUUAUUCCUGGAUUUCUCCCAAAGUUUUCCCUUAGGUUUUUCAAGGUUUUUCUACAGGAGUUCAUCCAGGAAUUUCUUCAACAUAUUUUGGCUGCGACCGUCUUGAGAUUUCUCUCAGAGAUUUUCUAGAAUUACUCUCACUGUUAUUUCCAGAAUUCUUACUAAAACUAAUCCUGGGAUCCUUCUGGAUGUCUCUUUUGGUAUUGCUAUAAUAAAUACUUUAGGAGCUCGUUGCCCGGAUUUGCACAUAGUUUUCACGGAUUACACUGGAACCUUUCAGGGGCAUUCCAAAGGAAUUUCAGGGGGUUUCAUGGAAUUGAGAUUUGUUUAGAGAAGGUUUAGAGCAGAUGCGUUCAGGAAUUUUGAGGAUCGUUGCAUAGGGAUUCAGGGGCUUCCAUGGUAGUACCUAAAACGUUAAAAUACUCCUCAGACCCUCUAAACCAUCCUUAAUCCUCCUGCAAUCUUGAUCAACCGCCCUUGAUUAAACCUGCAUAAAAAUAACCAGCAUAAAAAUAGGUUUCUAGUGUACCUCCUGGAAUCCCGGAGAAAUAUCUCAAUAAUUCCUGGCGGAAUCUUGCUAGGAACUCCAAGACGAACUACUAGUAAAAAAAAAAACAAGACAAACUUCUGAAGAAAUUUCAAGAAAAAUUGUUACAUCUAAGAAAAAUGUUGGGCAGUAAUCUUGGGUGGAAAUAUAAGGAAUAUUUCGGGAAGAGCUCUGGAAACCUUCGAGAGAAAUUUCUGAAUUAUCUACGACAGAUAAACCGGGAAAAUUCUUUGGAAGAAGUCUCCGGUUCAUCAGAAGUACCGCAAAAAUCCCGGGAGAAACUAUUGGAAAGUUUUCCCAGAUAACAACGAAGGGAAAUCCCCGAAGAAAUUUUGAGAGAACUUUGUUCUCCGGUUCUCCGGAAGGAAUCUUCCAAAAAAUUCAGGAAGAAAAUUCCGAGAAGUGCUCUUGUAGAAACCCCGAGAAAAACUCCUGCAGAAGUCCUAGAGGGAACUCUCGUAGGAAGUCCCGAAAGGAUUACCGAAAAAUUCUGGAUAGCUGUUCUGGGAGCAAAUACGGGAAAACCACUGGAUGGAAUCUUGGUUGGAUGGAUGGAAGAAGGAAUUAAGAAUUAAUAUAAUAUAAUAUAAUAUAAUAUAAUAUAAUAUAAUAUAAUAUAAUAUAAUAUAAUAUAAGAAGGAAAUAAGGAAUUAAAAGAGUUCUUGAGAUCACAAGAAUGCUCAGGGAAUAACUUGAAUAGUCAGGGAAAUUUUGCACCGAUAAAAAAUAAAACAUAGGCUCGAAUGAACGAAAAGUAGCGAACUUGACUAAAUGAUACGUGGGUGCCAAAUCAAUAAUGCAAUUUUAUAAAUUGAAAUGCGGAGAUUGUUAUCUUUGUUGUAAUAAUAUUGAAUGGAGAUAAUGUAAACUUCUUUGUUGAUAUUUAAGGCCUAUGUUUAAUGUGAUACUGCGAAGUUAAAUAUGUCGAUCUAUCUUCGUUUUUUUUUUUUCUAAAGUAGGAUAAGAUAUUCAAUAAGAUAAUUCGUCAGUUGAUUUACAAUAAAAAAAUAAAAAAAAAUUUCUAACAAGUCUUUCCGUGAUUCUUUCUCGAGAACCUUCCAGGAUUCCUGAACUCCGCCUGAUUUCCAUGGAAGUUUUUUUCGGGGAUCCUUCAGAAUCUCUCACCAGAAUUACCUCCAGUGGUUUUCCGGCGUAUUGGUACCUUCGUCGUGGUAUUUUCACGGAUUUCCUCCUGCGACAUUUACGUAGGAUUUCUAUCAGGAUUGACAACAGUUUCUUUAAAGAUAUAUUGCAGAUGCUGUCGCGGAAUUUCUCCAAGAGUUUCUAUCGGGAUUCCUCUUGAUUUUUUCCUGGGAUUUUUCCUAGGUUUGCUACAGGAGUUAUUUCUGGGAUUUUUACCAGAGCUCCUACAAAGAAUUAUUUUGGAGUUUUUUUUUUUUAAGAAUCUGCAGUAACUAAUUACGGAUUUCUUCCGUAGUUUCUCCUGUAUUUUCCGCAACUUUCUUCUGGAGUUUUUCCCUGGAUUUCUACAGGAGUUUGAGCUGGGAUACUUCCUAAAGGUUCUCGUGGAAUUUCUUUUGAUGUUUCCCCUGAGAUUUCUGUCGGAGUUUCUCUCAGGACUUUCCACAGAAGAUUUCUUCUGAUGUUGAUCCUGCGAUGUCUGUCAAAGUUUUUCUGUAUAUACCCUAGACUUUCUUCUAAGAUUUUUAUGAAGUGCCUUCUGGAAUUUCUUCUGGAAUUAUUGCUGAUUUUUCUCAUAGAGUUCUUCCAGUUUUUGUUUCUUUUACUUCUCCAGACUUUUCCGCAUAGUUGUUUACCGUAUUUCUUGCGCAGUGAUCAACCGGAUUUUCUCGAGAUUAUUUCCAGAGUUUUUCUCGAAAUUCUUACAGGAAACGAGAGACGAACCAGCCAAGGGCUGAAAGUCUCUUUAAUAAAGACAAAUCAAUCAAUCAAUUACAGGAAAUUGAGUUGUUUAGUGAAUAAAACAUUGCUGUUUUCUAUAUCCUAAUCAAAAGAGCUCAUUUUUCUGAGUGUAAGGUGAUUUUGUUGCGAUCCGAUUCCUUUGUUUUGAUAGUUAAAUAAACAAAACAAAUUUAAUUUCUGUGGAUAGAAUGACAGUUCAUUCGAUAAAAUGACAGUUCGCCCCGAAUAAAAAGUUUUCCCCAUACAAACUUUAAAUGUUUUUUUUUAAAUAGUUCCCGGUCACCAAAAAUUAUGAAAUUUUGAAUUUCGACUAUUUUUAGACGGAGAACCCGAUUAUGGCAUAAUCUGAAUAUCCCUAAAGAACCCAAUUGUCCAAAAAUAUCUUCAUGCUAGUUUUGGGAUUGCUUCAAAAGUUCCUCCCGGAGUUUUUUGCAAGUAUUUUUAAUGAGUUUUCUCGAAAUGUCUCCUGGGAUAACUUACGAAAUUCCUUGAAAAAAAAUCCCGGAAAAAUAUCGGAAGGAAAGCAGGUGAAAUGUUACAAGAAACUCAACGAAGCCUUAUUCGAGAAAUCUCGUGAGAAACUACGGAAUGAAUCCAAGCUGGGACAUCUUGGACAAAAGUUGUGGGAGUAAUCCCCGGUGAACUUGGUUCGAAUGCUAUCCCGAUAAACUACUAAGAGAAAUAACUAAAAUACCUCCAGGAGGAAUCCAGCAUAAACUCUGCAAGAACAUCGGGAAAAGCUCUGGAAGAAAUCCCUGAAACAAUAGGACACAAUCGUUGAAGUACUAGAAUUGAAGUAAUAAGCUGAAUUUUUGUAUGGUGAGAAGGUCAAUUCUCCAUUUCUGCAAUGAAAUGGUUCAAAAAGCGUGGACAUUAUGAUUCCUUGCCUAAUUUGAUGCUGUUUGAGCAAAACUUUGGGUAAUUUUGUUGUUUAAGUUGCAAGAAAUGGAGAAAACAAUUCCUAAAUUAGUUCAACAAAACCAUUAAACUAAGGUCUUAUAAACUUUACAACAUUGCGCCAAGACUUUUUUUAAAUCAUUACACUAAUUAGUAAACUUUAUCGAUUAAGAAGGAACCAUACCGUUAGUUCUGAAUUUUGAAACCAUAGUAGACUAUGAACCGAAAUUUUGGAAAAUUUUUAGUGCAUGUGCUAGCUGUUGUAUGAUCAUGAAGAAAAUCACAUCAAUUCGCCUUCAUCAUUUUUGGCCACCUGAUACGCCACAGUGCAAUCAAAUUCCAAAAAUCGAGAAAGAAUAAUUUCCUCUUUCUCCGGCAUUUUUAUUUCCUUCGUUGGUUGAAGGUAGGUAUGUUCAUUCUUUUUGUUGAGCAUGAAUUCCACGGAAUAGCAUUUGUGGGCUAGCUAGCUAGCGCCUAACAAGGCUGAAAGUAUGCGGGAUCUUUGACCCUGAAGGUCGUGUCGAUGUUUAUAGCUUGAUUAUGAAGACUUCUUCCAUCAGCCACAGUCGUCAGUCAGUCAGUGGCAGAAUGUAGGUAGGUAAGCAGAGCCACACGCUGGUCUUGUUUCGGCCAGCAAUGCUUACUUAGAUGCGAAUGAGAAAACAGUAACAGAAAAUUCCAUUGAGAAAUCCGUAACAAUAGAAGAAAAGAGGUCAUAAAAUAUCAGAUUACACACCAUCAACUGGGGAAAAAAUGUUGCACAAGGGAAGUAGCAAUCUAACCAAGUUGGCGCUGCGUUGAAGCUGCUGCUGUUAAUGACGGUGUAUGGUUGCAUGGAAACGGAAGGAAGAAAAUGAAUGAACACGGCCAACGACUACUGUGAUUGGAUGCUCACUACAGUAAUGCUUGAUACUAGGAAGAAAGUUUUACUUCAUGCAAUUGCUCUCAUUCAUAUUUUCCUGUGUAAUUUAGUUAUCUUUGUUGCUGCAUGGUGCAACGUUUAAAUUGCAAAGUUUGAACUGAUUGUAUCGAAUAUCUAUCUACUCUUUGAACUAUGAGCUAAGUUAAAUUGAAAAACACGGACACGUCCAAUGCUUCCAGUGAGCUAUUCACUUUUUGAAGGAAGCACGACACUAGACAACGGACUAGCAUGAAACGCCCAGUGUCACAGCCGAAAACUUUUCCUAGCAGCUGCGGUGGGAAUCAAACCCGCGCUCCUCAGCAUGAUGCGAAUAAAUGCUUGGUGGACACGGCCACGAAGCCACACGAAGUUGUUUGCAUAUUUUGGUUCAAUUGUCAGGGUGUUAAUACAAAUAGAAAAGCAACUGGCAACUGUGGGAACUCCUUCCGAGCUUUCUCUAAGAACAUCUAAGAGAACCCUCCAAGAACUUCUUACGGGAUUCUUUCGGAAACUUCGUCUGCGAUUCACGAUUUCUUUUCUUGAUGCCUCCAAGAGUUCCUUUUGGAAGCCCUGCAUAUCCAUCCGGAAUUCUACCGGAAGCUCAUUCCGAAAAUUUCCUGGAUGUUCCUAGAAUCUUCCAGGAGUCUAUCACGGAAUGCCUCAGGGAGUUUUUGUGAUAUUAUUAAUGGAAUUACUCAAAAAGUUCCUUACGAAGUUCCUACAGAAGUUUUAUGAGGAAUUUGAAGCUUCUGUAGUACCAUCCAGAAUUCCAUUUUUUCUUCAGAAAUUCAUUCAGGAAAUCUUAGAAACAAACUUUUACAGACAUUGAAAAAAACUAUUAAGAUUAGAAUAUUUAUGCAGGAAUCUUGGAUGGAAUCCCAGAAGCCAUCUUGGAAGAAAUUCCUCGAGAAUUUUGGGAUAAAUUUCAGGAGAAACCACGGGAGGAAUGCCUGAAGCAAUCCAAGAAGAAGUUGCUGGGGUAAUCCCAGACGAAUUUUCUAGUGGAAUCCUUGAAAGUAUUUCUGGAGGAAUCUCGGAACGAAUUCCUAGAGACAUUUCGGAAGAAAUUUCUAGAGGAACACUGAAACUUUUGGGGGAAUCUCACAACCGCGGAAGGAAUUCCUGAGUUCUAGUUAUUUAUGAGUUUCUUUCGUGGUUUUAUUAAGGGUUCCUUCAGAAGCUCUAUCUGGGAUUCUUUUAGGAGUUUUUGUUUCUGAGAUUCCAAAAGCGGUUCCAUCAAGACGAUGGUGUGGUCUAGUGGUUACCUAGGUUCAACCCCUGGCUCAUCCCUUUCCCCCUACUUUGUAUCUUCCUAUCUACUUUCUCUAUACUCUCUUCUCUACAUAUAUAUCUCAUAAACAUACGUUUAUCAUGGCCAUCACUAGAACCAGAAACGGAUUGAAAAAGUCGUUUCCCUUCCUUCCUACUUUCACAGCACAGUGUAAAUCUAUCAUAUAACGCCUAGAAGUUAUGCAACCAAGCGUACUGUGCCGCUUCACAGUAAUCGUCACACAAUCUAUCACUUUACGCAUGGCAUUCAUCGCACUAAUGCGAACCCCUAUGCUAAAAAUAAACAAUUCCCAACGACACUUCGAUAUCUGGAUGAACUUGUGCCGAUGCUGUGACCUCCACGGUCUGUUGGCAUCAAGCAAUUGCAUCUGGUAUUCCUUCAGGAGCUCUGCCAGGAUUUCUCCAGGAAGUAAUCCAAGGAUUCUUCCGCAGAUUCUUUCCGGAUAUCCGAUGAGUGUUCAAGGUUGAAGGAUUCGUCAUUGACAUAAUCAUCAUCAUCAUUGAAAAUACAAAAGCAGUUUUCUCAUUCAAAUCUGAAAUUUCGGCAGUGAAAAUGUAUUCACUGUAUUGUGGGUGCAGAAUGAAGUACAGUGGAUACAUUUUUAAUUCGAACAUUUAUGUUUUGAGCGAGAAAACUGAUUUCGUAUUUUCAAUGCCAAUAACGAAUUCUUCAACCUUAACGAUUUUGCCUAAUUGUUUGAGUAUUUUUUUGGAAAAAUUUAUGAUUUUUCCAUCCACUUUUAGGGAUAAAUAUCUUUCUUAGGGGCAAAAAGGUGCAGCUGAGGAUACUCUUAUCAGAAAGUACAUCUAAAGAGCUUUCAAAUAAGGGUUAGUUUGUCCGUCCACGAUCGUCUACUUAGGAGAUAUGACCAUAAUAAAAAAAUGUCCUUACUACGAUUUAAUGAUUUAAUUGAAAUCAAAUCUACUUUGACAGAAUAAUUCAUGGCUACUAUGAUGAAAUAUAAGUUAAACCCACUUCCGUCUUAUCUUAACAAAAGUUCAUUGUGUAGACUUUCUUCAUAUAAAAGUUCGAAUUGCUUUGCAGAAGAACUCGUGAGUUGUACGGCUCUGUGAGACAGUAUGAAACCCCGAUAAAUCUUAAUAUUUUAUUCAAUGAAUGCGAUUUGUGCUAAACAGUGGAAAUCUUAGAAAAGGCAGUGAAAACGAUUUUUAGAACAAAUUUGGUAUUUAAAACAAUCAUGACUGUUGCGCAAAUUUAGUUUAAAUAAAGCUAUAUAUUAUUCGAUCAUAGUAGCCAUGAUUUUUACUGUCAACGUAGAUUUGAAUGCAGUUAAAUCGUAAUAUGGACAUUUUUUAUUAUGGUCAUAUCUCCUCAGUAGACAAUCGUGGACGGACAAACUAACCCUUAUUUGAAGGAUCUUUAGAUGUACUUUCUGAUAAGGGUAUCCUCAGCUGCACUUUUUUGCCCCUAAGAAAGGAUUAAAAAAACAUAAAUUUAUCAAUAACUCGUCUCAUUUAAUUCCUACAGCUUUGAUAUCUUCGUCAAAGUUGCGUAUUUUAUUGUUGCAUACAACUUUGCAGAACACUUUUAUUCCCGUCAACUUUUGCCGAAUACACCAUUGCUCUAUUUCCUCAAUCCUACGAGUUAUUUAUUAAAAGCGUGAAAAUGGGAAAAUAAAUCAUUGUGCAGAGGUUGUUUUCGGCUUAGUACACAUUGAAAAUUAUCACGGAAAGCCAACGAAAUCGGAGCCAGUUGGGGCAGUACGAGCAAAUCAAACUUGUUGAUAGGAAAUGGGAUUUUUUUAUAUUAUGUUUACUCAGAGAUAGUUUCGGCUUUGCAGUCUUGUUUUAGUGGAACAAACUAUUUAAUUUUGUCCGACGUUUCGACACCGGGUUCGGCGUCUUCUUCAGGGAAAAAAUUGAUGUUGUUCUUUGUCUUAGGGUAUGAUUGUUCUGUUACGGUCAGUAUAAGGUUUUGGUCGGUACAUGUCAUAUGGUUGGUCAACUGGUCAAUAUUUUAAAAUUUAAUUUUAUAGUUUAGUCACUUUUAGUUUUGCUCACUCUGUUUUCGGGCACUAUUGAUUGUUAAGCUCUUAUCAUGGACAAUUGUCCAUUCAAUUAUUCUAGCUACCCGAACCAGUUCCGUUCAGUCAAAUAUGCAAAUUUUUCUGUUAAACAUAUAGACGGUACUGAGGAUAUCCAGGUACCGAGACCAUGAAAACGUGAGAAAAAAACUAACGUAUUGUACCCAAAAACAAUUAAACUAAACAUCUUUUAAACGAUAAAAAGUACUUUAUAUACAGGGUGUUAGGUUCCUGAGUGCAAACUUUUUAAAGGGUGUUAGAGGACCAUAAAUGGAGAAAAAAAUUGUUCUACGCAUAUGGUCAAAUCUUAACCGUUACGUAGUUAUUGAACUUCCCAUAUUUCUGGCUGCAAGACUGCUUCAUGCAAAUAAAAUAACAAUAAUAUCAAUUUUACAUAUGUUUUUGAAUACUGGUUUGAUUCGUGACUCGAAAUGUACUUGUAUUUCGGAUCAGUUUUUUAAGGCUAUUGUAAACAUUUUCUACUACUUCACGAUACUCUCCAACUCUUUACCGAUCUUUCAAUAAGGCCACUAUGCGGGGGCCUCGGUCAGCACUCACCUGAACUGCUCAAAAACCGAUGCCUCAAAAUUUUCCACUAGUAACUUGAACUUGAACUGGGGUCUCCAGUUAGCCUAGCGGUUAAGGCUAUGGAUCGCCAAUUCGGAGACGGUGGGUUCGAUUCCCGUUCCGGUCGGGAAAAUUUUCUCGACCCCCUGGGCAUAGCGUAUUAAUGUACUUGCCACACAAUGUACAAAUUCAUGCAAUGGCAGGCAAAGAAAGCCCUUCAAUGAAUAAUUGUGGAAGUGCUCAAAAGAACUAUAAGUUGAAGCGAGGCAGGCCAAGUUCCAAUGCGAACGUCGAGCCAUAAAGAAGAAGAAGAAGAACUUGAAUUAAAAUAUUUUUCUUAUAAUAAUUUCUAAUAUUACUUUAUUUAAUCUAACAAUUUAACUCUAUAAUUUAGUUUUACAAUAAGCACUAGCUGAAAGCACGCGUCUGGUUCAGUUGAAAAUUUUCUCCAGUUUGAAUUUCUGCUCGCAUGCUUCGAUCGCGAGUCGCACGUUGGCAUGGUAACCGUGGACGACGUCGUCGCGCCAAGAUACCCGGGCAAAACAUUUAGUUGGAGCUACUGUUGACAACAAAGACGUUCAUUCAUCGAUUGAUUGGCAAACUUGAAAAAUCGACAAUGAUGUUUCAUAAGGGCCUAACUGACUUGAUCGAUUUCUCUUCGUCGACUCUCUCUUUCGAUAAUUACUUGAUCAAAUCGAACAAAAUUAUUAUUCUUUUUGUUUCUAUAGCAAUAUGUAGUCAUCUCCUUCGCAUUUCAAUCAAAAAAUUUUGGGAAAACUCAAUUCACAUUCUGUAAUAACACAAAGAGAGGAUCGAUGAAGAGAAAUCGAAAAUUUCAGUUAGGCCCUAAUGAAGAAUCAGUGUCGAAAUGUCCUUAUCUGUCAUAUGAUGAUGGUUUGAAAAACCCCGAUCUAAACAACUUACCCCCACAUGAGCAGAAUCAAUUUAGAUUUCUGCUAACCAAACACUCACUAAACAUAAGCUGAACAAAGUUUUAUUACUCUGCAUUGUAUCAAGUGUAUAUGUAAAUUCCAAUUAACAAUCAAAAAUUACGUCAUUCUUUUUCCAGUGAGUAUCUAGCUUACAGUUUUGCGAAACCGGCUGUCGGAUGCGCUCGUUUAGAUUUCCCUGUAAAAACGGAAGGCAGUUACAGUAUUGACUAAAAUCGCACAUCUACUAAUGAUGGCGGGAAGCGUGCUAAUAUAGACAAGGCCUCGCUACUUCACUUCACGGGAAAUCAGCGUAAAACGCAUUUCUGUUGAGAAAAACUAUGCUUGUGAAUUCUGUAAACCGCUGAAUUAUUCUGUCGACACACCUGAAAAUUAGUAGUUUGACAGUACAUCUACGGUAGCUUUUUAAUCUGCUUUAAAAUUAAAAUUUUCUUCAAAUUUGCAAUAAAAUAUGCAGUCAUUAUUCAGGGCCCCUAUCACAGCUGUAAAGCCGUGGACAUUCCGCAAGAUCAUGCUGAGGGUGAUGUGUUCGAUUCCCGCUCGAACCAUGAACUUUUCGUAAAGAAAAAUUCCUUGGCAUCCUUGGACAUAAAGUAUCUUCGUGUCUGCCUCACGAUUUGCACACGCAAGAUGGUCAUUAGCGGAGGAAACUUUCAGUUAAAAACCGUUAAAGCUCAUAGAACACUUAGCUGAGAAGCAGACUUUGUCAUAGUUGGGACGUUACGCCAAGACAAAGAAGAAGAAGAAUGUUGCAUUAUUCAUUGUAAAACACGAAUGACUUGCAUACUAGAUCGGAUGGCCUACUAUCAUUUCUACACCGAAACGAACUAGAUAUUUAUGGGAAUCGUUGUAUUGUGCGUUUUACUCCGAUUCCCCCUCAGCACAACCCGGCGGGUGUUAUGUCUUCUGCCGGUAUCCAGAAACUCUGGUUGGAGACGCAAAACGGGAAACGGAUACGGUGCGUGCGUCCAAUGGAAUUUCCGCUGUCGGCAAGUUUUCUAACGCCAUAACACCAUUAGGUAUGGGCACUGGCAGCAGCACCGUUGUCAAUUCCACGACAAAUCAACCCACCUACACACACACACUCAGAUCCAGCUCUCUCUUUCUCUCCGAUUUCCCCACUGGGUAUUGUCAAUUUACAUAUUACCGGCGCGGCGGUUCCAUUUAACGACCGCCCCGCCCCUCCCCCUGUUGCAGUCAGUGGUGAAGAUCGGCUUCCAAGUUUUAUGAUUUUCUGUUUAGAACUGCGUUCGGAAAGUUCGUGGAAUGUAAAUAUCAUUUUGUUUUGCACGUGGGGGUACCAAAAUGUAGCGGCGGCGGCGGCGGCAAUAGGUAAGUGGGCUGGGUGGUACCUAGGAACAAAAACAGCUCCCCAGAGAGCAGCAUGGUAGCCGACGACAAGCUGAGUGGGUCGAUAAUAAUCAAAGAUAGCGACGCCCACGCGCGGGCAAACGCCACAGCAGCAGCCUACUAUGUUUCGACCACCUCACCGGAUUGGAUCAGCUACAGCUACUCGAGUGGAGUGCGGUAAGUAUUUUAAGCGAAUAAUAUCUAAUAGGUGCGAGGUACCCAAAUGCUGAACUGUAAAUUAUUAAAGUAACACAUAUUAGACGCAUGCACAGUUUCAGCGAUAUUUUUCAGCAUAAUUAUGCUGGAUUUUCUCACGAUUCUAACCAGUUUGUGUGUGUGUGUAUAUACAAUUCAACUCCCAAUGUCCGGCAGUGGUAUUAUGGAAGAAAGAUGUCUGCAGUUGUAUGUAUGAUUUUUACUGAAUUUCACACUACAAUCUGAAUUCAUCUUUAGCCCGGGAGUUGAAAGGUGAUAGCUCUGUUGGGAUCCAGUGACCCGUUUCAGAAUGUCUGGUUACUCACGUCCAUUCCGAGGUCACUUUCACUUACAACAAGCCCCGCAUGUGUACAAUGCCGUUAUCAAAUGGAUAAUGCUAUUGCAAACACACUUCCUGCUUCAAAGGUAAUCUUCGAAACUGGCACGUAUUUAGUUCCAUUCGUAGUAGUAAUGAUCAGAACAAUCUCACCGAAAACCAUCCAAGGUAGCGCUGCCACCUCCAUGGAAACGUCGUAACAGCGCAGUCAGGAUUGUUCCUCGCCGUUCCUCCGUCACGCAAGCAUCUGUCAUCUAUUGUUGAACAAACGUCGCUACAACGCUCAUAGAAUCGGAUAUGAGAUAACACUGUUUUCUGGUACCAAUCCCGCAUCACUUAUGGUGUGUCACAUCAACCAGACGUCAACAAAAACACAAAAAAUCAGGAGUCAUCCAAAGUCACCACAAUCAUUUCACGACCGACAAACUACCGGAUGGCAAUCGCGGAUACGACGACAAAUUUCGACACUCUCGAACCGAUUUCCGGCACCGUUUGCAAACCCCGAGCAGCGGCAUGCAAUCACGUACCCUCCGGAUGGGGUAGUGUGUAGCGUACCCAGCUGAACAGCUAGCAACGCGGGUCUAAAUUCACAAUCCUUCACAAUUCUCUUCUUUCAUUAAACCACUUUCCAUUAAAAUCAAAUCAGAACAUACACUUUUUCACUCGCGGAAGAACUAUCCGGAUGGCGUAGCACCGGCCGAACCGUCCGCCGAAUCGCGAAAAAGACAAAAAAAAAACUGGCGAACGCGAAUGAAAUGUGACGAGCAGCUCAAAACGCGACUGCACGCGGCAACGCCUACUGCCCACUCUCUGAUGGGUAUUCUCUCACGAUUCUAACCAGUUUCACUAGCGUGCGCAGGGUUCUUGCUUAGGGGGGGCACCAUAAUUAUGGUGCAAUAUAUGUAUGAUCAUGGUGCAAAAUAGAAUUAUGGUGUUACACGCAAUAUGAAUUCCCAAGUAGGGGUUUCAACAUGUUGUGGUGCUAACAUCGCCAAGUACUUCAUAUUGGGAUUCUGGAGAAGGCUUCGGAUGGUGAUGAUUUCAAGGCAUUACGAAACUUUAAUAUGAAAUCAUUAUCUCGACUCUUAUAAAAUUUUAUGAACGUAUCAAAUACAAUGGAGAAUAUUGAGAACCUUAUCAAUUAUAGAAAAAAAAUAUUGGCGUUGUGAAAGAAUUUUGAUCCUGGACAAUUAGUGAUCCUAGAAUUGGAGAAUGUCAGAAUUCCUAGAUAGAACAUUUUGAUCGGAAUCCUUGUUGCAAUCUACAGAUAGGGUAUCGGGAUGCUUCGUUGGCAUAGUCCCCUCGUUCGGCCUAUCUUAACGUUAACCAAAAACUCAAACAAACACGCCGAACUGGAUAUCGGAAAAGCUUUGCCCCAAACACCUGUAACAUUUCGUUUCAAUUUUAGCACUUUGGAGUACUGAAAUUGUAUGAAAAUGUCACUUUGUUUAGCUUUUGUAGACGCCAUGAUUCUUCGACUUAGUGGGUAGUCUACACACAUGAUCAUAAAUGGCAUGAUUCUGGAAUAUUUCGAAUUGCCUUUUCAAUAACUGAACAUUUGAUGCGACGGUCAAAGAUGCAAUUUUGAAUUUGUAUGUUUGAUUUUAACGAAUAAUAACUAUUUUACAAAUUAUAUGUGGGCCGAAUAUUGAGGACAUUUUUUUCACUAUGUACCCAAAUCUUGGCCCAUCAGUAAAGUGACGCCAACAACAUUGCUUGCGUAAGAACCAGAAAGAACGAACAGAAAGAUAGAUUUUGUGUGCGGUGACUGUAAAAAUAUAACACAAUAAUCGGGUUGCAUUGUUUUCGUUACUAAAAAGAAAGAACUUUAGUUUAAGUGAUUUAUUUAUAGUUUUUUUUUGAAAAUUUGGCUCCGAAAAAAUUUGAAAGUAUGAUUGGUGAACAAACAGAGAUAAUACCUCAGCAGAAAUAUUGAAAAAAUGAGAUAAUUAGUGGUUCUAGUGCAUGGAAAGCAAUAGGCCAACGUUGUAUCCACUAAUAGGCCAAUUUAUGUACCAUAGACCAACGUUGCAUACCAUCACAUCGAAUCUUUUCAACUUAGUUAAGUAAAUUCUUGAAUAUUUACGUUAGUUUACUUCCAAUUGGUGAAACAUGCAUUGCCUAGAGUGCGUAAUAGGGUCAACAUAUUAUUUCUAGUGCUAUUAAUUCAUGAGUUAUGGUCAAAAUUGUCAAGGCGGUUUGCAAAUUAGGCCAAGGAAUGAUCCAUAUACCCUAUUCCUCCAGGAUUUCUCCAAAGAUUCGUGCAUGAUUCCUCCAGGAAUUCCUCCAAAAAAACAUCCAAUAAUUCCUUCAGAACUUUCUCCAGGAAAUCUCAAAUAUUUCUCCAGGAAUUCCUCCAGUAUAUACUCAAUGAGUUCUUCCAAAAUUACCUCCAGGAAUUCCUCCUGAAAUUUCUUUCAGGAAAAAUCCUCUAGGAAUGUCUGCCAGAAUUUCCCCAAUAUUUCCUCCAGGGAUUCCUCUACGAAUUGCUCCACGGAAUCCCCCAGAAAAUUCUAAAGGAGUCUCUGAAGAAUAUCUUCCUGGAAUUCCUCGAGAAAUUCCACCAGGAGUUUCUUCAGAAAAUUAUCCAGGAAAUUCUCAACGAAUUUCUUCAGGAAUUCCUGAAUCCAUGAAUUAUUUCAAAAAAUCCUUCUUAAAUUCCUCAACAAAUUCCUCUAGAAAUUCCUUAAGAAAUUUCUCGAAAAAUAACACCAAAAAUUCCUACAGGAAUUCCUCCAAAAAAAUUCCUCCAAGAAUUCCUCAUGAAAUUCCUCCAGGGAUUUCUCCAGAAAAUCCUCUAGGAAUUUCUGCCAGAAUUUCUCCAGAGAAUCCUAAAAGAAUGUCUCCCGGAACUCUUCCAAAAUUUGUGCGAGGAAUCUCUACAGGAAAUCCUCCACAGAUUCCUCCAGUAAUUUCUCCAGGAUAUUUUUUUUCAGGAAUUCCUCCAGGGAUUCAAUAAUGAAUUUCUUCAGAAAUACCUCCAGAUAUUCCUUUAGAAACUCCUCGAGGGGUUCCUUCAAACAUUUCUUUAGAAAUUCCUCCAAUAUGAAACUAGUGAUAUCUUUCAGGAAUUCCUCCACGGAUUCCUGCAGAAAAUCCUAGAGGAAUUUCUUCAAAAACUCUUCCAGGAAUACCUACAGGAAACCCUCCAGGAAUUUCUUUAGAUUUUUUUUCAGAAAUUUCUUCAGGAGUUUCUGGUAUUCAUUACUGAAUUUCUUCAGAAAUUCCUCAUAAACUUCUUCCACAAAUUCCUUCAGGAAUUCCUUCAGAAAUUCCUUGAGGAGUUCUUUCAGACAUAUCUCCAGGAAGCCUCAUAUAUUUCUCCAGAAAUUCCUCAAAUAAAUCCUCCAGGAAUUCCUCCAGUAAAUACUCCUAAAAUUCCUCCAGAGAUCCCUCCUGACAUUUUUCUAGGAAAAACCUGAAUGUCUGCCUGUCAGAGUUCCCCCAAUAUUUCCUCCAAGGAUGCCUCCAUAACAUGCUAAAGGAAUUUUUCACGGAAUUCUUCCAGGUUUUCCUCAAGAAAUUUCUCCAAGGAUUCUUCCAUGAAUUCCUCCAGAAAAUUCUCAAACAAUUUCAUCAGGAAUUCUUCGAGAGAUCCAUCCAUGAAUUUUUUUCAGAAAUUCCACAAAAAAUCCUCCAGAAAUUCCACCAGGAAUUCUUUCAGAAAUAUGUCGAGGAAGAACUCCUGAAAUUCCUCCAUCAACUCCUCUAGGAAUUUCUGCCUGAGUUCCCCAAGAAUGUCUCCCGGAACCCUUCCAAGAAUUUCUCGAGGAAUUCCAAAAGAAAUUUGUCCAGGAAAUCCUCCACGGAUUCCUUCAGGAAUUUCUUCAGGAUUUUUUCCAGCAAUUUUUCCAAGAAUUCCUACAGGAAUUCAUUCAUAAUUUUUUUCAGAUAUUCCAAAAAAAAAAUCCUUUAGGUAUUCCUUCAGAAUUUGCUCGAGUAGUUCCUUCAGACAUUCUUCCAGAAAUUCCAGAAAUCUAUCCAGAAAUUUCUCCGAGAUGCCUCCAGGGAUUUCUCCCCGAAAUUCAUCCAUGAACUCCACCAGAAAACCCUAAAGUAAUUUCACCCGAAACUCUUCCAGGAAUUCCUCCAGGAGUUCCUCGAAUGAUUCCGCGAGAAAUUCCACCGGGAGUUCUCCACGGAAUCCCCUAGGAAUUUCUCCAGGAUUUUUUCCUGACAUUUCCUCCAGGGAUGCAAUAAUGAAUGUUUUCAGAAAUUCCUCCAGAUAUUCCUUCAGAAAUUCCUCGAGAAGUUCCUUCAGAUAUUCCUCCAUUAAUUUUCCAGGAAGCCUCAUAUACUUCACCAGAAAUUCCUCAAAUAAUUCCUCUGGUAAAUACUCCAAUAAUUCCUCCAGAGAUUCCUCCUGAAAUUUUCUUUUAGGAAUGACUGUCAGAAUUCCUACAAUAUUUCUUCUAGGGAUUUCUCUAAGAAUUGAUCCUCGAUCCUGAUCAUUCCUCCAGAUAAUCCUAGAUGAUUUUUUAACAGAACUCUUCCAGGAAUUCUUCCUAGAAUUCCUCGAGAAAUUCCCCCAUGGAUUCCUUCAGGAAAUUCUCAAGGCAUUUCUUCAGAAAUUCCUCCGAGGAUUCAUCCAUGAAUUUCUUCAGAAAUUCCUCCGGGAAUUCUUUCAGAAAUUUCUUUAGGAAGAGCGCCAGAAAUUCUACCAGGAACUCCUCCAGGGAUUCCUCUAAAAAAUCCUCUGGGAAUUUUCACCAAAACAACAGGGAUUUCUCCAUGCAUUCCUCAAAGAAUUCCUCUAGAACUUUUUCUUGAAGUUUCUCAAGGAGUUCCUGCAGGGAUUCGUUAAAAAAUUUCUUCAAAAAUUCUUUAAAAAAAUCCUGCAGAAAUUCCUCCAGAAAUUCCUUCAGAAAUUCCUCGAGGGGUUCCUUCAGAAAUUUCUCCAUGAAGCCUUAUAUAUUUCUCCAGAAUUUCCCCAAAUAAUUCCUCCAGGAAUUCCUCCACUAAAUACUCCAGAAAUUUCUUCAGAAUUACCUCCAGGAAUUCCUCCAGAAUAACCCCCAGGAAUUCCUCCAGAGAUUCCUCAUGAAAUUUCUUCUAGAGAAAAUCCUCUAGGAAUAUCUGCCAGAAUUUCUUCAAUAUUUCCUCCAGGGAUUCUUCAAGGAAUUGCUCUACAGAUUCCUCCAGAAAAUCCUAAAGGAAUUUCUACCGGAACUCUUCCAGGAUUUCCUCCUGGAAUUUCUGGAGCAAUUCUUCAAUGGAUUCCUCCAGGAAACUCUACAGGAAAUUCUCAAGGACUUCUUCAGGGAACCAUUCCUUCAACGAUUUAUUCAUGAAUUUCUUCAAAAAUUCAUCCAGAAAUACCUCCAGGAAUUACUCCUGAAAAUCCUCUAGGAAUUUCUGUCAGAAUUCCUCCAGAGAAUCUUAAAGGAAUGUCUCCCGGAACCCUUCCAAGAAUUCCUUCAGGGAUACCUCCAUGGAUUCCACCAGAAAUUUCUCAAGGCAUUCAUCCAGGGAUUUUUCCAGGAAAUCCUUCACGGAAUCCUCCACAUAAUUCUCAAUCAAUUUCUCCCAAAACACUUCUAGCAAUUCCUCCAGGGAUAUUUCCAUGGAAUCCUCAUGAAAUACCUCCAGGGAUUGCUGCCGGAAUUCCUACAGAAAAUUAUCUAAGAAUUUCUGCCAGAAUUCCUUAAUAUUGUCUCCAGGGAUUCUUCCAGCAAUUCCUCGACUAAUUCCACCAGAUUCUAAAAGAUUUUUUCCCGGAUCUUUUCCGGGAAUUUCUCUAGGAAUUCCUCCAGAGAUUUCUCCAUGGAUUCCUCCGAAUUUUCUUCGGGAAUUCAUCCAUGAGUUUCUUCAGAAAUUGCUAAAAAAAUCCUUUAUCAAUUCCUUGAGGAGCUCCUCCAGACAUUCCUCCAGGAAGCUUCAAAUAUUUGUCCAGAAAUGCCCUAAAGAAUUCAUCCAGGAAUUUCUCUAGUUAUUCCUCUAAGAAUUCGUAAAUGAAUUGAAUUCGUAAAUGAAUUGAAUUCGUAAAUGAAUUGAAUUCUGGAGGAAUUUAUCCAGAAAUACCUCCCGGAAUGCAAACAUGGAUUCUUCCAGAAAUUUCUCCAGAGAUUCAUGAAGAAAAUCAUCCAGGAAUUUCUCCAGGAAUUCCUCCAGGAAUGUUUCGCAAAAAAUACCUCAAAGAAUUCUUUCGGGAAUUCCUCCAGGAAUUCCUCCAUUCAUUCCUUCAAAAAUUUCUUCAGUAAUUCCAUCUUGAAUUUCUACAGGGAUUCCUACAGGAUUUUCAUCAAGGAUACCUUAAGGAAUUCCUGCUCGGAUUUCUCCAGAAAAUCCUGAGGAAAUUUCUCCCGGAACUCUUCCAGGAAUUCCUCGAGAUUUUUUUCCAGAGAUUUCUACAGAAUUUUAAUAUCUGGUUUUUUUCCAGGAAUCUCUCCAGAAAUUUCUCCUGGGACAACUAUAAAAAAUUCUCUAGUUUUUGCUCCAGAAAAUCCUCAAAAAAAAAAAUCUUCAUGGAUACCCCCAAGAAUUCCUCUAGGUAUUCCUCCAAGAGUUUAUCCACGGAUUUCUCCAGAAAAAACUUCUCCCGGAACUGUUCCAGGAAUUCCUCUAGGAAUUCCUCGAAGAAUUUCUCCAGGGAUUCCUCCAUGAAUUUCUCCAGGAAUUCCAUCAAUGAAUUUCUUCAGAUAUUCCUCAAAAAUCCCUCUAGGAAAUCUUUCAGAAAUUGCUCGAGGAGUUCCUUAAAUCAUUCCUUCAGGAAGCCGCAAAUAUUUUUCCAGAAAUUUUUUAAAAAAUUCCUUCAGGAAGUCCUGCUGAAAAUUUUCCAGGAAUUCCUUCAUUUUUCAGGAAUUUCUCCAGAAAUUUUUUUAAGGAUUCUUCCAGAAAUUUCUCUAGGAAUUCUCCAGGGAUUCAUCCUUGAAUUCCUUCACAGAUUCCUUCAGGAAUCCCUCCUAGGAUUACAGCAGGGAUUUUUCCCGGAUCUUUUCUGGGUAUUUCUCUAAGAAUUCCUUUAGGGAUUUCUCCAUGGAUUCUUCCAGGAAUUUCUUCGGGACUUCAUCCAGGAGUCCAUCCAUGAGUUUCUUCAGAAAUUACUCAAAAAAAUCCUUCACAAAUUCCUCGACGAGUUCCUCUACAAAUUCCUCCAGGAAGCCUUAAAUAUUUGUCCAGAAAUUCCUUUAAGAAUUCAUCCAGGAAUUUCUCUAGAUAUUCCACCAAAAAAAUCUUCAGGAAUUUAUUCAGAAAUACCUCCCGGAAUGCAAACAUGGAUUCCUCCAGGAAUUUCUCCAAAGAUUCCUCAAGAAAAUCUUCCAGGAAUUUCUCCAGGAAUGUUUCGCAAAAAAUAUCUAAAAGAUUUCUUUCGGAAAUUGCUCCUGGAAUUCCUCCAUUAUUAGGUACUUCAAAAAUUCCUUCGUUAAGGCGAAACUGGAAGCACUUCCUCAUUUUUUUGGUUUUUGAUUUUUAAUUAAAUAACGUAACAAUAUUUUCAAAAUUGGUUUUCGUGCAUAUGUAGAGCAUGGAUCAAGGUAUCUUCUGAUUUUUUUUAGGUGGAAAAAGUUUUCCAUUUUUGCAGAAACCAUUUUUUUGUGAAAUUUUAUUCAAAAAUGGUUUCUGCAAAAGCGAAAAAUAUUUUCCACCACGAAACAAAUUAGGAGCUACCUUGAUCCAUACUCCACAUGUGUACGAAAACCAAUUUUGAAAAUAUUGCUUCGUUAUUUUAUAAAAAAUCAAAAACCAAAAAGUGAGGAAAUGGAUCCAGUUUCGCCUUAAUUCCAUCUUGAAUACCUCCGGGAAUUUCUACAGGUAUUCCUCCAUGGAUUUCGCCAGGAAUUUCUCCAGGAAUUUCAUCAGGAAUUCCUCCAGGGAUUCUUCAAUGAAUUUCUUCAGAUAUUCCUCAAAAAUCCCUCUAGGAAUUCUUUUGCUCGAGGAGUUCAUGUAAUCCUUCCAGGAAGCCGCAAAUAUUUUUCCAGAAAAUUUUCAAAUAAUUCCUUCAGGAAAUCCUCCAGAAAUUCUUCCAGGAAUUCCUACAUUUUUUAGGAAUUUCUCCAGAAAAACCUCUAGGGAUUCUUGCAGAAAUUUCUCUAGUAAUUCUCCAGGGAUUCAUCCUUGAAUUCCUUUUCGCAUUCCUUCAGGAAUUCCUCCUAGGAUUACAGCAGGGAUUUCUCCAGGAAUUUUCCAAAGCUUUCUCUAGGAUUUCCUCUUUGAAUGUCUCCAGUGAUUCAGCCAAGUACUCCUCCUGAAAAUCCUCCAGAAAUUCUUCCAGUAAUUCUUGAAAGAAUGCCUCCAGAAAUUCCUCCAAGAAUUUGUUCACGGAUUCUUCCAAAAAUUCCUUCAGGAAUGCUUCCACUGUUUCCUCCAGAAAUUGCUCCACAAAUUCCUCCAGAGAUUUCUCCAGUAAUUUCUGCAAGCAUUCGUCAUUAAAUUCCUCGAGUAAUUCUUCCACAAAUUCAUGCAGGAAUUUUUCCAAAAAAAACUUCAGGAAUUCCUCCAGCAAUUCAUCCUGGAAUUCCUCCAUGAAUUAUUUCAUGGAUUCCUUCUGUUACCCCUCCAGUGUUUCAUCUUGUAAUUCCUUCACGGAUUCCUUCAGGAAUUCCUCCAGGGUUUACAUCAGGGAUUUCUCCAGAAAUUUAUCAUAGCUUCUUCCAGGAAUUCUUAGAAACUCCUCCAAAUGUCUCUCCAGAAAUUUCCUCAGGGAUUCCUGCAGAAAUUCCUCCGGACAUUCUUCCAGAAGUUCCUCCAGGAAUUCUUACAAGGAAACCUUCAGGCAUUCUCUCAAGGAUUCCUUCGGGAAUGCCUUCAGAGAAUCCUCCAGAAAUUCUUCCAGGAAUUUCUCCAGGGUUUCUUCCAGGAAUGCCUCCAGAGUUUACUCCAGGGGUUCGUUAAUGAGCCCCUUCUGGAACUCUUCCAGAAAUUUGUACAGGAGUUUUUCGAAAUAUUUCUCCACAAAUUCCUCCAUGAAUUCUUUCACGAAUUCCUCUACGGAUUCCCCCAGGAAAUUCUUCAAGGAUUCCUUUAGAAAUGCCUCCAGGGAAUUCCUUCAAUAAUUUUUCCAGCAAUUCCUUUAGUAGUUUCUUCUGCAAAUUCUACAGGAAUUUCUCUAGACUUCUCUUCCAGUUUUUGAGAGCUACGUUCAAGAAUUCUUUCAAGCACUUCUUUAGUAAUGCCUUCAGGGAUUCCUCCACGAUGCCCUUUAAGGAUUCCCCCUGAAAUUUCUCCAGGAAUUUCUCCUAGAAUGCCUCCACGGAUUACUCCAGAUAUUUCUCGAGCUGGUAAAGUAAUUCUCAAAAUGAUCCACGGAAUGCUAUUUUGAUACGCGAAUCACAAAAUGAUAUAUAAAAUUCAAUUGUGGAUGAUACAAUGAACAUCAAGAAGGUGUAAAGAAUUUUAAAAAGGUGUGUGAUGUGAGUAUGGUAAAUUAUAUACCUUAAUGAUCAAGGGAACAUCGAGAUAAUGCAUGCGUGGCAAGCAAUUGCAAUUUGAUUUAUAGAAUGCUAAGAUAAAACAUGAGAUUUGGAGAUGGUGUAAACAUAAAAAUGUUGGUGCUGCGUGAAAACCAAAUUGCGAGCGGCAAUAAAGGCGCAUGAUGUCACCGUGGUGUAUAGGAUCUUCUGAUAACACUCAGUUCAUUGGUAUGGUGCAUUGAUUGCUGAUAUGGAGCAUGUCAUUCAAAGAUGGUGCUUGAUGUCAGUAUGAUGCAUUAGAGCUGACAUCGUACAAGAAAUGCUUUUUCGAUGUACGAAACUACAUACAAUAAUAAUGGUACAAUAGAUGCCUAUAGUGAACGCCACGAUUACGCAUUAAAUGCUUUAGUAAUGCAUGAAAUUUAACGAUGGUGCAUUAUUUCGCAAUUAGACACAUAUUGGAUUCAAAGAUGGUGCGUGAGAUGUUGCCUAGAUGAUUCUGUGAACAUCAUGGUGGUGCAUGAUGUCUGUAUGGUGCAUUAGCUCAUGAUUCUGUUAUACUCGUCAUGUUUCAUAUUAAGGUGCACUUGCAAAUCGUGCAAAGGUGCAGGAAACUCAAUGUGGCACAGAAAUCAACAUGUUUCAGGUACGUGGAAUACUAUUUUGUAUGCGAAAUUCUAAAAUGGUGCAGAAAAUUCAAAUGUAAACCACAUCAUAAUGGUGCAUAAGAUACCUAGAUGGUAUAAUGAAUGCCAAAAUGGUGCAUGGAAGGCUUGGAAGAAGGCGUAUGAUGCUUGUGAGCUACAUUAGUUGUCACCGUUAUUCUAAGAUUAUCAACAUGUUGCAUGGUUAGGUGCACGAAUUGCAAAAAUGGUGCAUAGAAUACAAAAUAAAAGUAUUUUAUGUGAUGCUUACAACAUAAUGGUGCACCAGAUGCCUAGAUGAUAUAAUAAACGCUGAAAUGGUGCUUGGAAAGCUUUGAUGGUGCUUUAAAUUUAAUGAUGGUGCAUAUCAGUAUGAUGCAUUAGAUUCCUAGUUGAUUAAAAGAUAGUGCAUGAGAUCAGCAUAAUGCGUGGAUACCUAGAUCAUUCUGUGGAUGUUUUGAAGAAGGUACAAGAUGUUAGUGUGCUGUAUUAGUUGUCACCGUUAUUCAGCGACACUCGACAUUGUGUAUGGCUAGGUGCACGAAUUGCAAAAAUGGUGCUUGGAAUUCAAUGUAGUGCCGAAGUCACCAUGGUUCACAUACAUGGAUUACAGUUUUGGAAAACGAAAUGCCAAAAUGGUGCAUGUUAUUCGAAUAUGGUGCUGACAUCACUGAUUAGUUAAAAGAUGGUGCGUGAGAUUAGCCUAAAAAUGAUUCUGAGAACAUCAUGGUUGUGCAUGAGAUUCUAAGAAAUUGUUUGUAUCAGGGGUGCAUUUGUUGCACCAUGAUUCAGUGAUUCUCAACAUUGGGUGGUUAGAUCUAAAAUUAAGAAUUGCAAAAAUGAUGCAUAGAAUUUAAUAUGGUGCGGAAGUCAACAUGGGUCAGGUACAUGGAAUACAACUGGGUGUACGAUAUGGCAAAAUGGAGCUUAUGAAAUUCCAAUGUGAAUUAAAUGCUUAGAUGUGCUUAGAUGACGCGUGAGAUGGUGCUUAGAUAUUUAUGUGAUCAUCAUGGUGGUACAUGGAAUGCAAAGGAGCUACAUGAUGUCUGUAUGGUGCAUUAGUUUUACCAUGAUUCAGUUAUACUCAACAAAUUCCAUAUGUAGGUGCACGAAUUGCAAACAUGGUGCGGGAAACUCAAUGCGGCACAGAAAUCAACAUAGUCCAGGUACAAGGAAUUCUGUAUUCUGUAUGCGAAAUGCCAAAAUGGUGCAUCAAAUUCACGUGUGAACCACAUCAUAAUGGUGCAUAAAAUGCCUAGAUGAUAUAGUGAAUGCAAAAAUGGUGGUUGGAAAGCUUUGAAGAAGGUGCAUGAUACUAGAUGAUGCAUUAGUUGUCAACGUUUUUCAAAGCCUAUGGUUAGGUGCACGAAUUGGAAAAAUGGUGCAUAGCAUGCAAAAAAAUGUAUUUUGCGUGAUGCUCACGGCAUUACGGUGCUUUAGAUGCCUAGAUGAUAUGAUAAACGCUGAAAUGGUGCUUGAAGAGCUGUGAUGGUGCAUGAAAUUUCAUGAUGGUGCAUAUCAGUAUGAGGUAUUAGAUACUUAAUUGAUAAAAAGACAUUUCAUGCGAUCAUCAUAAUGCUUGGAUACCUAGAUCAUUCUGUGGACAUCAUGAUGGUGCAUUGAAAGCAUUGAAGAAGGUGCAUGAUGUUAGUGUGCGGUAUUAAUCGUCACUGUUAUUCAGUGAUACUCGUUAUUUUGUAUGGCUAGGUGCACGAAUUGCAAAAAAUGGUGCUUAGAAUUCAAUGUAAUGCCGAAGUCACCAUGGUUCACGUACAUGGAAUACAGUUUUGGAAUACGAAAUGCCAAAAUGUUGCAUGUUUUUCAAAUGUGGUGCUGAUAUCACUGAUUAGUUAGAAGAUGGUGCGUGAGUUUAGCCUAGAUGAUUUUGAGAACAUCAUGGUUGUGCAUGAGAUACUAAGAAAUUGUAUGUGUCAAUGGUGCACCAUAGCUCAGUGAUUCUCAACAUUGCGUGGUAAGGUGCAAGAAUUGCAAAAAUGGUGCAUAGAUUUUUUUGUAGAAGGGGGGGGCAAGUGCCCCCCCUUGCCCCCCCCUGUGCACGCUAGUGGUCGAUAAUAAUCAAAGAUAGCGACGCCCACGCGCGGGCAAACGCCACAGCAGCAGCCUACUAUGUUUCGACCACCUCACCGGAUUGGAUCAGCUACAGCUACUCGAGUGGAGUGCGGUAAGUAUUUUAAGCGAAUAAUAUCUAAUAGGUGCGAGGUACCCAAAUGCUGAACUGUAAAUUAUUAAAGUAACACAUAUUAGACGCAUGCACAAUUUCAGCGAUAUUUUUCAGCAUAAUUAUGCUGGAUUUUCUCACGAUUCUAACCAGUUUCCGGGAAAAUUAAUUCGUCAAUGUACAGGUAUACCUCGAUGUAGUGGACAUUUCAAUUUUUGAAAUGUCUAUAAAAUCGAAUUUUACAUAAAAUCGAAGCAAAAUUUUUUAUUUUAUUUUUAUUGAAAUUUUAUACCAAAAUGUACUAAAACAUAUAGAAACUGCAUGAAAAUUGAGUUUUCGAUAAAAGGCACGGAGUUUUUGGCAUAUAUUAGUAUUCUCGCUAAAUAACGAAUAAAUCACUAUCUCGCUAUUUUGUUACUAUCGAAAUCUUUUGUCGCCAAAACUAUGUAUGGUUUAUUCAAAAGCCAAUAUUUUGAGCAAUGGACAUACACAACGUUAUUUGUAUAAAUGUCCCAAAAAAAUAAAAAGUUCAGAAAUUCAUUCAGGGAUUCCUUGGAAAAUGCAGAAUCGUGUCACAAAUUCCUCCAGGCAUCCCAUCUGAAAUUUCUCAAGGGGUUCCUUCGGAAAUUAAGAGACUCAUGACAAACAGUUGAUAGAACGUGGUUACUGGAUGUGUUGUAUUUGCCGAACGAUCUCUCUGCAUAAAGGUCUCAUUAGACGUAACAAAUAUUUGGCCAAACAAGCCCAACAAUUGACCAAUAUAACGUGAAUCACAGACACCUUGGAUAAAUGCCGGUCUUCAAUGGCAAAUGUUUACCAUAAUGACAAACAGUCUAAUGGCACCUUAAGCAGUGUAGGUUUGUGCCGCUAUCUGCUCGGUUGCUUUUUGUUGCAAUUCGAGGUGUUAAUGAAAAUUGAGUAAAAGCAAAAUUUUCAACUUUAUAACGAAUGUCUCCGAAUAAAACUUUCCACUUCAAAUCAUUAUGUAACAGAAUAUUUCAGAAAAUCUUCCAUGUGUUCCUCCACAGUCACAAAUAAAUAUUUAAUGAAAUUUGGCAAGAAUUGCUUCGCCAAUUCCUCCGUGAUUUCUCGCAAAUCUUUUCAGAGAGAUUUUGUUUGAGAUAUUCGCCCAGAGAUUACUUCAGAAAUUCCUCAAGUAAUUUAUUCAUAAAUUUUCGUAGGCAUUUGUUUGGAGAAUCCAUUGGAGAUUUCUUUAGAAAAUCUACCAGAUUCUGCCAAAAAAUACUCAUGAAUUUGAGUAGAAAUUCCUCUAUGGAUUCUUAAAAAAUGCGUUCAGAGAUUCUUUCAGAAAUUCCACUAGGGAUUUCUCCAGAAGUUCCAGAUAGAGUUGUGUAUGUUUUUUCGUAGAAAUUUUCCAGGGAUUUCUUCAGAAAAUCCUUCAAGGAUUUACCUUUUUUUCGAGACUUUUUGAGAUUUUUUUUUCAAAAAAUCCUUCGGAAAUUCCAUUAAUCAUUUUCUUAAACGAUCCCCCAAAGAUUUAUUCCAAAACCUUCUCCGGGGUUUACUUUUUGAAUCUGAAUUUCUGACAAAAAAAAAUCCUGAGAUUUCUCUAGUAAUUCCUCCAGGAACUCUUUAAAAAAUGUGAGAUCCAUUUGAAAAUUUUCUGCAGGGAUUCCUAUAGAAACUACUCAAGGGGUUUCUUCACAAAUUUUUCAAAGGGUUCAUUCAGAAAAUUUCCAGCGGCUUCAAUAAUGAAUUCGCCAAAUUUCUCCACGAAUUACUUAUAAAAAACUUCCACAGAUUUUUAGAUAUUUUUUUCAUGAACCAUUGUUGAAAUCUAUC